GAUGGCGCGCUCCAAAAGACAGGGUUAGUGGGUUUCUGUUUAGCGACAGAUUUCCCAUUGGGUUGUUGAAAUUGAUUGGUUUUGAUGUUGUUUUUUUUUUCAAGCCAACAUGCAGACGAUGCAAAAACAAUAUUUUCAAAUACAAAAAAAAAUAAUGUGAUAACUGGACGACUACAGUCAACUGGAUGAGAUAAAAUCUAAACGAUGUUAGCAUGUCAUCUUGUUCCCAGAAACUCCCUAAUGCACAUCACAUUGAAACUAUACAUUUGUGUGCAUUGAUCGCAAUCACAAGGCCUAUUCUUAUCUGGUAUAGGCUUCUCUUUAGACGAGACUACCUGGCCUGGGCAAUCCAAUAGAUGCGUUGGUCAUAACAAGGCCCGACAUUUAUUUGUAUAUUUGUAUUUGCUAAGUGAUUGGCCAUCAUUAGCCUUGUCACUGAUCUUAUAAACUAUCUAAGUUGUCUAGGGUAGCAAUAAAUAACAUACACCAUCACGGUACAAUGUAUCUCAGCAAGAAAUGCAGGUUAAUACAGGGAAUUCCCGUCAAAAGAGUCAUAGUGUGCAUUAAAUCUGAUAGCCAUCGCAGUCAAAGGUUCAUUAUCGCUGUAUGCACGUCUAGUUUGGUUAACUCUUAGCAGCCUAUAGUUUCUUAAAAGACGAGCAGGUACGUAGACAAGUAUCGAGAGACUCGAGUCUAAAAAUUAAACACCGGGUGUGAUAACUAGACAUAAUCAAUUCCCAGACCAAAGCAAGGACUGAUUAUUUGGCUGCGUGAUACUGAUACAGGGACGAAACCAAAAAGAUUUGGGAGGAAUAGAAAAAGGAAAAUAACUAAAGACAGCAUCAAAAAAAAGUCUCGGAAGUGUAUAUAGGCCGGCAUUACCGCGUAAGUUGAUAAGCCAUGAAGAAGAAGAAGAAGGAGAAGAAGAAGAAGAAAAAGAAGAAGAAGAAGAAGAAGAAGAAGAAGAAGAAGAAGAAGAAGAAGAAGAAGAAGAAGAAGAAGAAGAAGAAGAAGAAGAAGAAGAAGAAGUAGAAGAAGAAGAAGAAUAAGGUUUAAUAUUUCCAAGGUUUGCCUGGGUGUUGAAAGCUUCUCAACAAUCUGGUUAACUCAUGCCACGAUUUGUUGAGCGUUUUCCAUAAAAGUUUUGUUUAAAUUUGUUCGUCAAACUUGUUUCAAAAAUGCCUGAACAAUGCCAAUAAAUUGUAAGCACGAUGACACGACGAAAGAAAAAACGAUCCAGAAGCAACAAAAACAUGUAAAUGCUGUCAGAACGACCGAUUUUGUUAUUUCCCGAACUUCUUAAGGAUUUUUCAUAGAGCUAGUAUCCUUUUACUGAAGCUAGUAGCUUUUUACCAUACUGAACAAACCUUCUUGCUGGAUCAGGGAGUCAUAGCAAUUGAUCAGUAUCAACGUAAAAUAACAACAAAACUAUGUAUGCCCAAAACAGGAACAUUGAACCAAUUAGUCUGUUUCAAAAAAAAAUGUUGAAAUGCAUGAGGUUUAAAAUAAUAAAAUUAAUCCACAAAACCCCUGUAGCGUAGUUGUCAGUGCAAACGCAAGCAAACGCAUUUGGCGCUGCUCCUACAUCCAUUGUUCGCCUGGCACUUAAUCCGGACCGUUAAGUGAGCUGGGUUUUUCCUUGAUGCCAUUAAACCUAGCCUUACCCCCAUGCCACCCAAACCCCACACCUCCCGUUGGACAUUCAAAGUAAGCAAUGAUUAAUAAUCUAAAUAAAUGUCUGCUCCAUCAUGUGACUUUUGCAUGUGAGGUUUUUAGCCAAUUGGGACGGUUUCCAAUCUCAUUGGAAAACAUCUCCAUAUUUGUUUUUGAAUGUGAAAAGCUGCUUCAGUGAGAGAGAGAGAGAGAGAGAGAGAGAGGGGGGGGAAUAAAACACGCCGCAUCGUACGCAAACCAUUCAAAGAAAAGCGCUGGACCGUAAUGAACCGUGAUCGGCUCGACGUUUGGAAUGUUGUUUGCUAAGCAAUUUUUCAAUAAUCCACUCCCUUGACGGACUGCCGACCUCGGUAAUGUGUCCUUUGCCGGUCCACUACUUUGCCACUAUCGAGGGGCCGGGGAGGACUUGUGUUUUAUGUAACGUUGUGUGCCGCCGUUAAUCCUAUUACGGGUCAUGGAUUCUACAAAUUCUUCCAAACAAGCACACACACGAUGCAUAGAAUUGCAUAAUUCUUACUGUUACUUCUCACCACAAAAAUAAAACAACCUAAAAAGCGCUUUGAAGUAGCCCCCCCCCUACGCCAGCCAGCUUACCUUAAAGCUAAGUAACUGCUCUGCUGCAUCCGCAACCGGGAAAGGAUUGAUUGGUGGGGAGUGUGACUGCGCCGACUCCCGCGCUAAUCGUCCUGAUCGCACCCCGUUAACCGCUCGGGGCUGUCGUCCUCGUACGGCUCAAUCUUCGGCGUCCAGAAGAAGAUGUAGUAGAGCGAGAGGAGCAGCGCGGCAAACGACACCGUAAACAGAUAGAUGCACACCACGAUCACACGGACCCAUUUGGGUUCCUCCUUUUUCUUCGCGAACAUGCCACCGUCGGCCGUCUCGGCAUCGCGGGCGUACAGCGGCUCGGCCGCCUUCUGGUCACCAACACCGUCCAUCUUUGGAGAACUGCUGCUGCUACUUGCUGCUACUACUGGCCUAGACUAGUCUAGAUGAUUGUGUUGUGUCCUGCUGGACGGUUUGCACUGCACUAAGCCUGUGAGCUGUGGUUGGCCGUGUGUAUCGUCCGCCACUGACUAGCCGCCUGCGUGAAACUCGCCGACGCCAACGACUGCCUGCGUAUGUGUGUGUGUGUGUGUGUGUGUGUGUUGGGGGGUGAAUUUUCCGGACGACCAACGACCGGACACGUUUGCCAAACGCGCCCCAAGUGAAAGUGAUGCGACCGAGCGGCUCAAUGUGCGACCUGUUACGCCACCGUGUGUCGUAAUGCUCCCGUCUUCAACGUGCGUGUGUGUGCGCAGAUAUUUCCCACGGGAGGAGGGUUUUUCGUCCUGCACUGCUUCGCAAUCAAUUAGGGAGAACUGUGGGUAGGGAAGGAGAUCUGGGCGCAGUGGGUAGAAGACCUUCACUGGCCAGGCUUCCUCACACAACACCGGAAGAAUCCGGCGUUCCUGUGGUUAUGGAUUUAAUCGGCUUUGCGACACGUUAUGGCAUCGGGCUCUCGAGUUCGCUUGCUCGGCCGGAGACGGCAACAAAGCUUUAAACGUGCGUCAUAUGACUCCCCGCAUAUGUGUGUGAGUGUGUCUUUCAUUCUAUGGCGCAUGGUCAAAAAUUUCCUCCUUAUUGGUUUAUAUCUUUCUCCGGUGGCAUUACGGUAGGCUUUUCCCCGCGCACACCCUUCAGAAGGUAUUAGAUGGUGGCCUUCCGUCUGUCUGUCGAGUGUGUGGAGUUGUUUAAAAUUGUGCAACGGUCAGAAGACGAUUGGACGAGAGAGAAAAAGAGACAGUAACAGAGAGAGAGGCCAACGAUGUGCGCCGAGAGAGAUCGGAUUGUGAUAGUUACGUUUUCUGCGCAGUGUAGAGAGAAACGUAGAUCAAGCAUCGGGGUCCAACAUCCAACCCAGACUGGAAGUAAUUGCGCAUCUUGAAGGCUCCAAACACGUGGAUGGUAAUUUUUAAAAGAAGUUUGAGCGUAUUCAGAAAAUGAAUAGAACACAUGUAUUACUAUCUCAAAUAAUAUUAAAAAAGGAAUAGAUUAAGAACUCAUAUCAGCUUGGGAUCAAUUCCAGGAAUGGCAUGGGAUCGGUUUUAGUUUCAAGAAUGGUGUGGUUUCAGAAUAUGUUUCAGGAAUGCUCUGGAUUUAGGAUUAAUUCCAGAUCUAAUAUGGGUUUAUGAUCAGUUCCAGGACCAGGCUAUCGAUCAAGUAUUAAUUCCACAAGAGUAUGGGUUCCUGAAAGGUUCCAGCUCCGUUAUGUACUAGAACCAAUUGAAGAAAGGCUAUGGGUUAAGCAUCAGUUUGAGGUUUGGGAUUCAACGGUACAAAACCGGGAUCAAUUUCAGGACCGGUAUAAGGUAAGGAUCAGUUCCAGGCCUGGAAUGGUUCUAAGAUAUGUUCCAGGUUCGGUAUGGGUUGAAGAUCCGUUUUAGGAAAGGUUUUUAGGAACCAAUACACUACUUUUUUCAGGACAGGUACGGGUUUAAUAUCAGUUCCAGUCCCGGAAUGGCUUUGGGGCCCUGAAACAUGGACCGAUCGGAUUCAGCAUUAGCUCUAGGACCGGGUUGAGGAUCAGUUCAAGGAGUGGUUUGAGGUAAGAAUAAGUUCCAGAAUCGAUUAGGAAUCUGGAUCAGUUUUCCCAGGUAACAUUUGUUCUAAAUUUUUAACCAUGAUCUGUUCGAAUGGUGCUCCAGAAACCAAAAAAUAUGGAUUUCUGUGGGAUAAACCGUGUAGAAAGUAUCUAAAUUUCGUUUGUGUGUGCGAAUGACCUUCUUCUAUUGGAUGAAGAUGCCGUCCAAUUUGUUUUAGAUUAAUUUGCUUGAAUAUUUGGCGCAAAACGAAGGUACAUUUCGUACGGCGUUAUUUGGUGAAAAUUCGAUGGGUUUUUUGUUGUUGUAUAAAAUAAACUAUACGACCAGUAAUAAGCAUUGGAAACGUUAUUUUCCAAAGGAUAGAGAAGAAAGUAUCGAAAAAUACACUUCACAGUCGAUUUUAAAGAGCUUUUUUCUAAACUGGUGCAGUUUAAGAGAAGUUUAAGGUGCCAGUUUAAGGGAAAUAGCUCGAAACCCCGAUUUUAGAACUCGAAAAUGUGAAUUGGGUUAGGUCCAGUAGCGCAGUGAUCUCAGAAAUGUUGAAGGGUGUGGGUUUAGGAUAAGUUUAGGUUCCAAAAACAAAUGUGGGUGUAUUCUGCUCGGAUCUUCCCCGAAUGCUGUCAUUCGUCAUAACUGCUUUGUCCACGCUAGCAAGCUUCAACAGGUUCAUCUGGAAACCCGCAAAUGGGCUGACUCCGAAGGUUGUUGGCGACCGGGAUUUUCUGGCCUAGAUUGAAGUGAAGUGUCGAGACACAUUUAGCCAUAAAUAUUCCGACUUCAAUGAUCGUCGAAAUGAAUGCUGAAGAUGCUGGCAUAUGUUGACUGUGAUUAUCCUCAGAAGGACGUAAUGUGAGCCGAAUGUUACACGAAGGUUAUAUGGAUGCUUGGAUGUUUGAAUAUUUGAUCGAAGAUUUGAUGAGACUGAGCACGAUUUCUACGAACCAGGACAGCAGGAACGCACUGCAGCUAUAAAAAUAAGUCUUUUUUAUUAUUCCUGCAGUACAUUCGUACUGAAGUAGAGCCGAAUAGACUCAAGGUUUCUACAUAACUGACCAUUGAA